UACAGAGGGUGCGAGCGUUAAUCGGAAUUACUGGGCGUAAAGCGUGCGCAGGCGGUAAGUUAAGUCUGAUGUGAAAGCCCCGGGCUCAACCUGGGAAUGGCAAUGGAUACUGGCAGGCUAGAGUGCGGUAGAGGGUAGUGGAAUUCCCGGUGUAGCGGUGAAAUGCGUAGAGAUCGGGAGGAACACCAGUGGCGAAGGCGGCUACCUGGACCAGCACUGACACUGAGGCACGAAAGCGUGGGGAGCAAACAGG
rnacentral:rRNA from 1 species